rnacentral:rRNA from 1 species
UACAGAGGUCUCAAGCGUUGUUCGGAUUCAUUGGGCGUAAAGGGUGCGUAGGUGGCGCGCUAAGUCAGGUCUGAAAUUUCGGAGCUUAACUCCGAAACUGCAUUUGAUACUGGCGUGCUUGAGGACUGGAGAGGAGACUGGAAUUCAUGGUGUAGCAGUGAAAUGCGUAGAGAUCAUGAGGAAGACCAGUGGCGAAGGCGGGUCUCUGGACAGUUCCUGACACUGAGGCACGAAGGCCAGGGGAGCAAACGGG